rnacentral:tRNA from 1 species
GGUCUCAUGGUGUAAUGGUUAGCCCUCUGGACUCUGAAUCCAGCGAUCCGAGUUCAAAUCUCGGUGAGACCU